rnacentral:rRNA from 1 species
UACGGAGGGAGCUAGCGUUGUUCGGAAUUACUGGGCGUAAAGCGCACGUAGGCGGCUUGUAAGUUAGAGGUGAAAGCCUGGAGCUCAACUCCAGAACUGCCUUUAAGACUGCAUCGCUUGAAUCCAGGAGAGGUGAGUGGAAUUCCGAGUGUAGAGGUGAAAUUCGUAGAUAUUCGGAAGAACACCAGUGGCGAAGGCGGCUCACUGGACUGGUAUUGACGCUGAGGUGCGAAAAGCGUGGGGAGCAAACAGG